rnacentral:tRNA from 1 species
AAGAAUUUAAGUUAAUUAAACUAUUGACCUUCAAAGUCAAAAAUAGAAAUAUCUAAGUCUUA